GUCCGCCAAACAAAGACAGCACGAGCUGAAAUGAGUGAACUGUUGACUAGCUUGUUGUCAAAGACGGAUACAUUAACUGCCACCGUACCAGUGACUGUUCCAGGAAUGAAGCUAUUAGCUAGGCAGCUCAUGGCUUCCUCACAUACUGAACUGAACUCCCUAUCAGCUUUAAUUACUUCUGCGGCUUGAUUUCUUAAACAUACAGUUGCUUAUAUACAGGAAAUGAUGAUUCUCGGUCAUGUAUAGAGCUGAAAGGAUUCUGGACUUCUCAAGGACAAGAUGAUCCUCACCUCCUCAGGUUAUACAAUUCUUCUAUUUACAUAAUUUGGCAUAUAGUGUAGAUGCUACUACAUUGAAACUUGAAGCAUUAAGAAUGGCAUUGGAGUUUAUGGGAUGCUAAUUUGAUACCGAGGUUGGAGUAGCUUAGUCAGGCAGCUGAGCAUCUUAUCUAAUUAUGUAUAUAUUGUAGAUGAGAAUCGCACCAGGCUACUUGUACUGCUCAUAUUGAAGCUUGAUGCAUUCAGAAUGGCAUCAGACUAUCAGAGUUUGAAAAUCUUUUGGUUAAUCACAUGGGCCGAUGAUGGAGCUGAGUCAAGAGCAUCUCUUCCAAGCGUCUGGACUUUAUUAGAGUUAUUGGGAAGAGGAUGGGGCAAAUGAGCAUGCAUCCAAUACUUGAUCGGAAGUCAAACUGCUAUUCGUCAAGUUCCCCAACUCUGAAAUUCACCCUCUCAGUCUACUUCACAAGUUUCCUGAACCAGCUCUGAGUAGAGAGGGUCUUGGGGAAGGAUGGAAAGGGUUUGUGUACUCUUUGCAAGAGGUUUAUGACAAGAAUGGUGCUUUGGAGAAGAUUCGGAGCUUGAAUGGUCACGAUGAUGGCAACUCGAUUUACGAAUCUGUUGUGUUGUUCCACAGCAGAGGUGAGGAAAGAGACGGAUGCCUAGUCGGAGAGAAGAUUUGCUCAGUUUAGGUAGGCAGUCUGAGUUUGGUAACUAGUUGCAUUAUGACUAGUGAGUAGUUGUAAUCACCUAUUGAUUUACUGUCAUUUUGAUCGACAUUUUAUGUAAUUACUCAGUAUUCAGUAUUCUACUUAUCAGGCUUUUGCAUGAAAUUACGUACUCAUCCCAACCUCGAGCA